UUACGGGCCGCAGCAGUGGGGAAUAUUGCACAAUGGAGGGAACUCUGAUGCAGCAACGCCGCGUGGAGGAUGACGCAUUUCGGUGUGUAAACUCCUUUUAUAUAGGAAGAUAAUGACGGUACUAUAUGAAUAAGCACCGGCUAACUCCGUGCCAGCAGCCGCGGUAAUACGGAGGGUGCAAGCGUUACUCGGAAUCACUGGGCGUAAAGCGCAUGCAGGCGGUUAAAUAAGUUGGAAGUGAAAUCCUAUGGCUCAACCAUAGAACUGCUUCCAAAACUGUUUAACUAGAGUCUGGGAGGGGAAGAUGGAAUUAGUAGUGUAGGGGUAAAAUCCGUAGAGAUUACUAGGAAUACCAAAAGCGAAGGCGAUCUUCUGGAACAGUACUGACGCUGAGAUGCGAAAGCGUGGGGAGCAAACAGGAUUAGAUACCCUUGUAGUC
rnacentral:rRNA from 1 species